CCAGGAGGCACAGGCUGGGUCCUCGGGUCCUGAGGACCCUAAUCAGGCAAGCUGGGAUCAAGGACUCUGAGUACAGUGCUGCCAACAGAGGGAGAAAAAGAAAUGACAGAAGCCAAAACAGUCGUGUCUGUCUGGCCUGCCAGCCACAACCAUGUGAGGGCAUCGAGAUGGAUGUGGGACCAGCCUGGGCAGAGCCCUCCAAAGGAUGGCUGUGAUCAGGCCCUCACAAGAAAGCGCAAAGCAGGAAACGAUUGCAAUGUAGCCUACAUACAGAAAUAUGUCUGUAAGUGGACAGCUCAGUGCGUCUAUAUCCAUGUAAGCAGCACCCAGACAAAGAAUUAGUACAUCACCAGCACCCCUGAAGCCUUCCUACUCCUCCCAGUUGCUAAGGCCAACAAAGGAACCACUAUCCUGACUUCUAACAUUGCAGAUUGGUUUUGCCUGUUUCUGAGCUUGAUAUAAAUGGGAUUUCACAGUA